rnacentral:rRNA from 1 species
CCUACGGGAGGCAGCAGUGGGGAAUUUUGGACAAUGGGCGCAAGCCUGAUCCAGCAAUGCCGCGUGCAGGAUGAAGGCCUUCGGGUUGUAAACUGCUUUUGUACGGAACGAAACGGCGAGCUCUAAUAAAGUUCGCUAAUGACGGUACCGUAAGAAUAAGCACCGGCUAACUACGUGCCAGCAGCCGCGGUAAUACGUAGGGUGCAAGCGUUAAUCGGAAUUACUGGGCGUAAAGCGUGCGCAGGCGGUGAUGUAAGACAGAUGUGAAAUCCCCGGGCUCAACCUGGGACCUGCAUUUGUGACUGCAUCGCUAGAGUACGGUAGAGGGGGAUGGAAUUCCGCGUGUAGCAGUGAAAUGCGUAGAUAUGCGGAGGAACACCGAUGGCGAAGGCAAUCCCCUGGACCUGUACUGACGCUCAUGCACGAAAGCGUGGGGAGCAAACAGGAUUAGAUACCCUGGUAGUCCACGCCCUAAACGAUGUCAACUGGUUGUUGGGUCUUCACUGACUCAGUAACGAAGCUAACGCGUGAAGUUGACCGCCUGGGGAGUACGGCCGCAAGGUUGAAACUCAAAGUAGUAGUCGACGNGAGAGACGACGACGACGGACGACGAGGAGGGAGGAGG